rnacentral:SRP_RNA from 1 species
GUUGGGCGUGGUGGCGCACGCCUGUAAUCCCAGCUACUCGGGAGACUGAGGUGGGAGAAUUGCUUGAACCCGGGAGACAGAGGUUGCAGUGAGCCGAGAUCGUACCACUGCACUCCAGCCUGGGUGACAGAGCGAGACUCCAUCUCAA